GCUGGGCAUGGUGGUGCAUGCCUGUAAUCCUAGUGAUUUGAGAGGCUGAGACGGGAGGAUUGCAAGUUCAAGGCCAGUCUCAACAACUUAUUGAGGCAUUAAGCAACUUAGUGAGACCCUGUCUCAA
rnacentral:sRNA from 1 species